GGAACAGGCUUGUCAACUCCCCUGAACACAUCUUCUACGCGGCAAAUGAAAUCUGCAGAAGUUCUGGCUGAAUAUUUGAAAAAUUUCCGUGCAGACAACAUUGUGAACAAUGCUGAAUUCAUUAGAGAGAGCAUUGUUCCAGAAGCUGGGCCUUGGACUAUCUUGGGUCAGGUGUAAAUUGACUUAGGCUUAAGAGAGCCUGGGAUCCUGUUAUAACUCCAGGUGCACAAAAGCAACUCAGUUAUUACUUUCUGAAUGCAUUUGAUAAUUGGGGGGGUUUCAACACGAACCCACUAUAUACGAUACUUCAUGAGGUGAUUUACUGCCAAGGUGUUCCAUCUCAGUGGGCUGCUCAAAGAAUAAGGGAGGCCAACGGAAGCAAGUUUGACGCAAUCAAAGCAGCAAAAGAAGGGCGUCCUGUAUAUUUUACGGGAGAGGUUUGCACAUCACUGAGUGGAGAUCCUUUCACCGAUGAGAAAUUUGAUGAAAUACGAGACAAAUGGGCAUCAUACUUCACCGAACAUUGUGUGUAAUUAACGCUUCAUCGAUUUCUUUUUGUGGAUGUUUCAUGCUAUUAAAAUCAUAUAUAAUUGCCUUAUUAUAUUUUUGGUGCAAUUUUGUAACGUAUGAAGUGUAAAAGAUAUAGUUAUUAUAGACUUGAAACUAUUAGGUGGUUUAUUUUUGUAAACAUAUGAUGUUUAACUUAUAUGUAAAAAUCAAAGUUUCUUGGAAGUUAUUGGUGGU